rnacentral:rRNA from 1 species
GUGCCAGCCGCCGCGGUAAUACGGAGGGUGCAAGCGUUGUUCGGAAUUACUGGGCGUAAAGGGCGUGUAGGCGGUGUGGUAAGUCAGAUGUGAAAGCCCUGGGCUUAACCCAGGAAGUGCAUUUGAAACUGCCAUGCUUGAGUAUGGGAGAGGAGAGUGGAAUUCCCAGUGUAGAGGUGAAAUUCGUAGAUAUUGGGAGGAACACCCGUGGCGAAGGCGACUCUCUGGACCAAUACUGACGCUGAGGCGCGAAAGCGUGGGGAGCAAACAGGAUUAGAUACCCUGGUAGUCCACGCUGUAAACGAUGAGCACUAGGUGUAGCGGGUAUUGACCCCUGCUGUGCCGUAGCUAACGCAUUAAGUGCUCCGCCUGGGGAGUACGGCCGCAAGGCUAAAACUCAAAGGAAUUGACGGGGGCCCGCACAAGCGGUGGAGCAUGUGGUUUAAUUCGAAGAUACACGAAGAACCUUACCUGGCCUUGACAUCCCGAGAACCCUUAAGAGAUUAGGGGGUGCUAGCUUGCUAGAACUCGGUGACAGGUGCUGCACGGCUGUCGUCAGCUCGUGUCGUGAGAUGUUGGGUUAAGUCCCGCAACGAGCGCAACCCUCGUCCUUAGUUGCUAACAGUUCGGCUGAGCACUCUAAGGAGACUGCCUUCGUAAGGAGGAGGAAGGUGAGGACGACGUCAAGUCAUCAUGGCCCUUACGGCCAGGGCUACACACGUGCUACAAUGGGGCGUACAAAGAGCUGCAAUACCGCGAGGUGGAGCCAAUCUCUUAAAGCGUCUCUCAGUUCGGAUUGUUCUCUGCAACUCGAGAACAUGAAGCUGGAAUCACUAGUAAUCGUAGAUCAGCUAUGCUACGGUGAAUACGUUCCCGGGUCUUGUACUCACCGCCCGUCACACCAUGGGAGUUGAUUUCACCCGAAAUCGGGAUGCCAAACUGGCUACCGCUUACGGUGGAAUUAGCGACUGGGGUGAAGUCGUAACAAGGUAACC